rnacentral:rRNA from 1 species
GAGAGGAGCUGUCCUUAGUACGAGAGGACCGGGAUGGACGGACCGCUGGUGUAUCUGCUGCGUUGUCAAACGCAAGAGGCAGGGUAGCCAUGUCCGGCAGGGAUAAACGCUGAAGGCAUCUAAGCGUGAAGCCCCCCUCAAGAUGAGAUAUCCCGCCCUACGGGGCAUAAGAUCCCUUGAAGAGUACAAGGUAGAUAGGCGGAAGGUGUAAGUGUGGUAACACACUCAGCUGAUCCGUACUAAUAGAUCGAAGGCUUGUCCUUAU